rnacentral:rRNA from 1 species
UACGGAAGGCAGCAGUGGGGAAUAUUGCACAAUGGGCGCAAGCCUGAUGCAGCCAUGCCGCGUGUAUGAAGAAGGCCUUCGGGUUGUAAAGUACUUUCAGCGGGGAGGAAGGCGAUGCGGUUAAUAACCGCGUCGAUUGACGUUACCCGCAGAAGAAGCACCGGCUAACUCCGUGCCAGCAGCCGCGGUAAUACGGAGGGUGCAAGCGUUAAUCGGAAUUACUGGGCGUAAAGCGCACGCAGGCGGUCUGUUAAGUCAGAUGUGAAAUCCCCCGGGCUUAACCUGGGAACUGCAUUUUGAAACUGGCAGGCUUGAGUCUUGUAGAGGGGGUAGAAUUCCAGGUGUAGCGGUGAAAUGCGUAGAGAUCUGGAGGAAUCCGGUGGCGAAGGCGGCCCCUGGGACAAAGCUGACGCUCAGGUGCGAAAGCGUGGGGAGCAAACGAGGAUUAGGAUACC